GGGAUGACCCCUCCCAGGCAGGAGGAAGAACCCACAGACCCCACCUGACCAGGGUGCAGACCUGGGGCGACCAGGAGGGAACUCGUGCCUGGAGGGUCGAGGGGAGGGUCUGGAGCUGGCACCUUCUUCACCGGGACCCCUGCUGUCCUCCCCAGCCAGCCCUCUGGCCUCCCCGUGAUGGGCACCAGGUGGCCUCGGGCCUCUCUGCGGCCCUCCCAGUGCGGCGCCCACCCCGAGCCCACCUAUGCAGAUCUGGGUGGUGAUGUUCUUUAGGAAGGCGUCCUCGAGCAGCUCGGCAUAGUUCUCCUUCACCAGCGAGAUGCCUGGCCGGCCCUGGGGCCCCAGGCCUUGGCAGGAGAUGACGUUGAGCUGGUCGGAGCCCGCGACGAAGCCAAACAUGUCCUUGAUGCCCACGGAGACCACCUG